rnacentral:rRNA from 1 species
AAUAUUGCGCAAUGGGGGAAACCCUGACGCAGCGACGCCGCGUGAGUGAAGAAGGCCUUCGGGUUGUAAAACUCUGUCCUCAGGGAAGAAGUAAGUGACGGUACCUGAGGAGGAAGCCCCGGCUAACUACGUGCCAGCAGCCGCGGUAACACGUAGGGGGCGAGCGUUGUCCGGAAUUACUGGGCGUAAAGGGUACGUAGGCGGCUAUAUAAGUCAGGUGUGAAAUACCAGUGCUUAACACUGGAAUUGCAUUUGAAACUGUGUAGCUUGAGUGCAGGAGAGGAAAGUGGAAUUCCUAGUGUAGCGGUGAAAUGCGUAGAGAUUAGGAGGAACACCAGUGGCGAAGGCGACUUUCUGGACUGUAACUGACGCUGAGGUACGAAAGCGUGGGUAGCGAACA